rnacentral:rRNA from 1 species
AUUGAACGCUGGCGGCAUGCUUUACACAUGCAAGUCGAACGGUAACAGGCCGCAAGGUGCUGACGAGUGGCGAACGGGUGAGUAAUGCAUCGGAACGUGCCCAGUCGUGGGGGAUAACGCAGCGAAAGCUGUGCUAAUACCGCAUACGAUCUAUGGAUGAAAGCGGGGGACCGUAAGGCCUCGCGCGAUUGGAGCGGCCGAUGUCAGAUUAGGUAGUUGGUGGGGUAAAGGCCUACCAAGCCGACGAUCUGUAGCUGGUCUGAGAGGACGACCAGCCACACUGGGACUGGGACACGGCCCAGACUCCUACGGGAGGCAGCAGUGGGGAAUUUUGGACAAUGGGCGCAAGCCUGAUCCAGCAAUGCCGCGUGCAGGAAGAAGGCCUUCGGGUUGUAAACUGCUUUUGUACGGAACGAAACGGCCUGGGUUAAUACCCUGGGCUAAUGACGGUACCGUAAGAAUAAGCACCGGCUAACUACGUGCCAGCAGCCGCGGUAAUAC